CAUUCAUACAGAGACAUACAUACAGAUACAUACAUGCAUGCAUACAGAUAGAUACAUACAUAGAGAUAGAUACAUACAUACAGAGACAGACAUACAGAGACAGACAUACAUACAUACAGAUACAUGCAUGCAUACAGAUAGAUAGAUACAUACAUACAUACAUACAGAGACAUACAUACAUACAGAGACAUACAUACAUACAGAAACAUACAUACAGAGACAUACA